rnacentral:rRNA from 1 species
GGAGUUAAGAAAUGCCGGUGGGGGAAAUCCUGUCGGCUUGACAAAGGCCUAGGAGGAAGCCACGGCUAACUUCGUGCCAGCAGCCGCGGUAAUACGAAGGUGGCAAGCGUUGUUCGGAAUCACUGGGCAUAAAGGGCGUGUAGGCGGUCUGGUAAGUCGGUAGUGAAAGCCCCCGGCUCAACCGGGGAAGUGCUACCGAUACUGUCAGACUCGAGUGCAGGAGGGGAGAGUG